rnacentral:rRNA from 1 species
AUUGAACGCUGGCGGCAGGCCUAACACAUGCAAGUCGAGCGGCAGCGGGAAAGUAGCUUGCUACUUUUGCCGGCGAGCGGCGGACGGGUGAGUAAUACCUGGGAAAUUGCCCAGUCGAGGGGGAUAACAGUUGGAAACGACUGCUAAUACCGCAUACGCCCUACGGGGGAAAGCAGGGGACCUUCGGGCCUUGCGCGAUUGGAUAUGCCCCGGUGGGAUUAGCUAGUUGGUGAGGUAAUGGCUCACCAAGGCGACGAUCCCUAGCUGGUCUGAGAGGAUGAUCAGCCACACUGGAACUGAGACACGGUCCAGACUCCUACGGGAGGCAGCAGUGGGGAAUAUUGCACAAUGGGGGAAACCCUGAUGCAGCCAUGCCGCGUGUGUGAAGAAGGCCUUCGGGUUGUAAAGCACUUUCAGCGAGGAGGAAAGGUUGAUGCCUAAUACGUAUCAACUGUGACGUUACUCGCAGAAGAAGCACCGGCUAACUCCGUGCCAGCCGCCGCGGUAACAC